CGGGAGCCGGAAUCCGGCCGAGAGCGCGCACGGCCUGCCGGGAGCCGGGAGCGCGGUCCCGGGGGCUCCGCCCACAAGGCGGGCGCGGGGCCGCGCGCGGUCUCUCAGAGCCCCGUGGGGUGGGGCCCGCCGGGCGGGGCGUCCACUCCCCAGGUGACGCCGUAGUUCUCCUCCCCGUCCCUCGGUCCGCACCCUUGCGGACCUUUCCUCUCCGGUCGCUGUGGAGUUUCUCCAUUUCCCUUCGGUGGUGCAGUUAUCGUUUCGGACGUCUCAGUGUGGAUUUGGUGUAAUUUACCUCCUGAAAUCAUAUAUCCGACCCCUGAAUCUCAGAUUUCCCUUUUUCUGGAUCCUGGAAAAUUAUCAGCCAUUAUCUCUGAAAACAUUGGUUCUCCAUUCUCGUAGUCUCUCUCGUCAUUUGUUAAACAGGUUGGACGGCCUGUGUUUCCCCGUCGUUUUGCCGGUAACGUACAGCCUCAUCCCUACCAGCGCUCUCUUCCGCAGCUUCUAAUGCGUCUAGCUUGUUCGUCACGCUUUCAAAAAUCAUUAUUACCUACCUCCAUUUCUAAAAGUUGUAUUUGACUUGCAUUUGGAAGCUGAACAGCCUGAAACUCUCCCACAACGGAACACAGAAGCCCACACCACCCAGUCUGUGGCCACACCCUGCAUUCCGCCCUCAAGAAACCGCAAAGGGCUGGAAGCUCCCUUUCCGAAGCCGUCAGCUGGGUUCCUUCCUGUCCCGCCGCUCACGGCGCGCCCCACGGCUCGCAUGCUUCUCCUCGGGAGCACCCGGACCCGGACUAGCUCACCACGCGCGCACCUCCCAUGCGGACCAUCCUCACACUUCACACCCAUACGCGGGGACAAGCGGUCUCUGCUACUUUGUUUCUAGCUCCCUCUCCGCAGUAGGCACCUGAGAAAACCCACCCCGGAUGGACCCAGCCAUCCCCAUCACGACCGCUGCACAAACAUCACACAACCAGGCUGGCUGGCUUCACCUGAAACUUAAAACGAGUACUUCACACUUCCUUGCAAUCUUGGGAUUUUCUCCAGUAGGGGAAAGGAUUGUCAGCAGUAUGGAAGAGAACCCCAGUAUGAACUCCACAUGAAAACUUGGAAGGAUUAUACCAUUGAAGAUGCCAUCAUUGUUAUAGAAAAGGCUGUGAAAACCAUCAAGCUCCAAACGAUAAAUUCUUUCUGAAGAAAACUACCCACAUGUUGUGCGUGACCUCACGGGAUUUACGACAGAGCCAGUCAAGGAAACCAUGAGACUGUGGCUAUAGCAAAAAAAGGUGAGGGGUGAAGGGUUUCAAGAUAUGGAUCUUGCAGAAAUUCAAAAGCCAACAGACACUGCACCAGAGGAACUAACAGAAGACAAUGUGAUGGAGAUGAGUGCUUCUGAACCAGUGCCAGAUGAUGAGCAAGAUGUACAAGCAGCAGAGCAGAAAACAGACUGAUGUUAGGGGAUCUAACAGAAGGGUCCUGACCACUCAAGACUGCUUUUGACUUCUUUUACAACAUGGACGCUUCUGCGAUACGGGCACUGAAAUUAAGCAGUGGAGGAAAGACUGGCACUUACACAAAACACCUCAGAGAAAUGAGAAAGCCAAAAAGUCAGAUGGAAAUGAUGACGUAUUUCUGGAGGGUUCCACUGAGCGUGCCUCCCUCCCCCGCCUCCCCUUCUGCUGCUUCCACCUCUGCCACCUGAGACAGAAUGCCAAGCCUUCUGCUUGCCCGCCUUCUCAGCCCACCCAGUGUGACGUCAAGGAAGAUGAAGAAUUUGGGGAUGAUGUGCUUCCACGUGAUGAAUAGUAAAUCAUCAUCAUGCACUAUGGUUAGCAAACUUGCCUGUUGUGCAUGUGUGUGUCCUCGUGAAAAUCUAACAACUGAACGGCAAGAGCUGCAUGAGACGUUUUGUGUCAUCAUCACCGACUAGGUAUUCAUCAGGCAGAACAUUGUGGGCAAGACUCGUAUGGAAGUAGAUAGCCAAUCCUUACAGAAGCAUAAAGUGCGUGAUAAUAUAAAAUUAAUGUGUCAGUUUUCUGUUUUAUAACAUCGCUUUCAAAGAAUUACAUUACUGCGCGGUACACUGCUCUCUCCCCUCAUUGGAGAAAAUGCGUAUCAGCCUAUCAUCACAGAUUCUCAGGUCAAGACAAAGCACAAACAGUCAACUCCAAAGGAGAAAUCUUCUGAAGAAGAAUUAUAAGAAGUAACUCACAAAAAUUUUUAAUGGUAAAUCCAGAGGUGUUUGAGUUUCAACAACCUUGUGGGGCUGAGAUGAGAGCAGAGCACUUGUGGAAAAAAAAUCACAGUAAAGGCCAGGAGGAAGCUGUUUCCCUGAAGGAGAGGUUCUGGGCAAGUGUUCAGCUUCCUUCUCAAAAGUAAUAGACCAGGGGAACCUGGGCGGCUCAGUCACUUGAGUGUCUGCCUUCAGCUCAGGUCGUGAUCCCAGGGGCCUGGGAUGGAGCCCCGCAUCAGGCUUCCUGCUCUGUGGGGAGUCUGCUUCUCCCUCCAC